CAGUGUUCAUGCGCAGUUGUUACAGAACCAUGCCGGGUUUGUGUAAUCUGCACUGGACGGAUGUUUCUGAGAUUAAGGAUGUUGUAGCACUUUCCAAUGGCCAAAACACUGGCUCUGAGGCUGCAUUUGCUUAGGAAUUUGGGAGCCCAAGUCCUUCCAUCGCUGGUAGUGUGUCUGGGUAAGCGUCUAUGCUUUCCCUGUCUUAGGACGUCCAGUGUUUACUCUCUCAGUCAAAGAGGUGUAUGUACCACAACACGAGACCCACUUUUCCUUGUCGCUGGACCUGUUCGCCCUUAUCAAGAGCUCCUAGCCAGUGGAAGAUGUCUAUCUUGGUUGCACCACCUGACUUCCGAUGAGGAUCGCACAUUUACAACCCGCUUGUCCUCCUGUACAACAUCCCAGCAAGUUCUACGUCUUCUGCGAUCUCACCCUGAGCUCUCGGGUGCAGCAUCAGCUUCUGUCCUGCACCGAUUGGCUGACUUGGAACAGGAUGGCACCUGUGGUCUUGGGAACCCACAAGUCCUAUUGUCAGACGUGGCCUUGAACAAACUUUGUCACAGACUUGAGCAAGAGUCCACCGCGUUGGAGGAUGAAGUGGUGGUUCAAGCUCUGGUGGGCUGUACACGACUCUACCUUGACCCUUGGAGUCGCCUGGUGGUAAGGCUGGUGUCCGAGAGUCAGGAGAGGCUGGACUCGGGACGGUUAAGUGUUGAAGCACUCUGUGGGUUAACAAGGGCUUUAUUUGCAUUGGAAGGGCCUGACUGUGGAAUGCUAAAACAGGCUACGACGCAGCUUCAAAAUAAAGACCCGGCACAAUGGAACGCAACACAGCUAGUGGCUGUUUAUCGCAUGCUAGCAUCUGGUUUGGGUGAGGAUGGACGCUACCUUGAGCUUCUGAAUGAAAUGAAUGCUCAAGCACUCCGAUUAGCGCACAGGAUGGACCCAGUUGCAGUUAGUGAGAUUUUAGGUGCUCUAGUCAAGCUGGGAGAGAUGCAAGCAGUGCCACUAGUUAUUGCGCUCUGCAAGCAAGCUGUCCGUCAUGUGCAAAACUUUUCAGAUGCAGAACUGACUGUAGUUUUGUCUGCACUUAUGCACUACGGACACAGCGAUCACUUUCUCAUGGAAGCUCUUGAGCGCCACGUGCCUAAGAUCACCUUCAAUGCUCAAGCAGAAACAGUAACCAAGGUGAUGCAGUAUUUCGGGCGACGACGCAUUCUUUCUCCGCCUGUUUUCAAUGCAGUGGCUGAAAGUUUCAUGUACCGUGCGGAGGAGUACUCCACGUGGCAGGUGUCACAACAGAUAGUCGCACUGGGAGUUUUGGGAUACGUGCCGCCUGACGCGGGGAGAUUGUUCCGAAAGGUGGAGUCGGUAUUGCAUGCCCGAUUUUCGCAAUUUCAGCCCAAAGCUCUUCUAGAUCUACUGCACGCCUGUACUCUGCUACAGAGGUACCCCCUGAACUUCGUCUCAAAAGUCUUCAGCCCUUACUUCAUGCAGCAGCUACAGGCUGAAACGUGCAGCGGAAUGGAUCGCACAGUGCUCGCUCAGCUCACCCAACUCUACAUGACUGUGAAGCUGGAGUGUCCAUUCUAUGAUGGUCCAUGGCUGUCACACAAGUUUCGUGUAAAGUCAUUUUUGGCCCCAGGACAGUCUCUGGAGACUCCGGUGGAAUCUCAACUGGACAAUGCUGUGAAAUCUGGACUAGUGGAUCUGCUGGGAGCUCGAUCUUACUUUGCUUCUAGAGUACUCACUUCGUAUUGCUAUUCACUAGGUAUAUCAUAAAUCCUGCAAGUAAAGUUUGGUUAUAAAAGUCUAUUACAGAACUGCUCGCGCUAACACAAAAAACCUUUUUGUCAGUUUGUUAUUAUACACUACCUACUCAAUCUUUUUGACAAUUUUCCACAAUUUAUUCUACAGAAUUAAUUACAAGCAUUAGGGUUAGCCUAAUGCUUGUCACCCUAACCCCUAGAUCUAAAGGUUUUUAAGAUCAUGAGAAACCAAAUCCAGUCUGGUAAUGAAUCUCUGUGAUUGCAUAUGACAGAUUAUUCUGAAUCGUCUGUCUCUCUCUUCAGAUGUUGAGAUAAAACUAGAUGAGGAAGGUUAUGUGCUGCCUGCUCGCCAUAUAGAUGAAGUCCACAAGAGAAUCGCUGUCUGUAUUGAUGGGCCAAAGCGCUUUGCUGCAAAUGCAAAACAGCUUCUGGGCAAGGAAUCUAUUAAGCAACGGCAUCUGAGGAUUCUGGGAUAUGAUGUUGUUCAGAUUCCAUAUUAUGAGUUUGAGAAACUCAAGGACAGAAAAGAAGUUGUGGAAUAUCUUCACAAGAAGAUCUUCCCUCACAGCUACAGACUCAGCUGGUGACUAUUGGAUCACCAAAUCCUAUCCCACAUCUAACUUCUAUUUCUCAGUCUACAGUCAAUGCAUUCAAUGGACUUAACGGGUCGACAAUUUUUCCCCACAUACAAAAACAUUUGAGUUUUAGAUUUAUUUGUAGCUUUUUAAAUCCUGAGGCUGUUGCACAGUUGUUUUAAAUGUAAAUUGCUAUGUAAAUUAUCAUAAUAAAAGCACUACAUAAUC